rnacentral:rRNA from 1 species
CCUGGUUGAUCCUGCCAGUAGUCAUAUGCUUGUCUCAAAGAUUAAGCCAUGCAUGUGUAAGCACACACUGUUUUAAAAGUGAAGCCGCGAAUGGCUCAUUACAACAGCCACAGUUUAUUAGAACUUACAUACAUGGAUAACUGUGGUAAUUCUAGAGCUAAUACACGCACAAAAACUUCAACUAUACAAUGGUUGAAGUGCUUUUAUUAGAACAAAAACCGAACGGCGUUCGACUUGUGUUGAACGUCGAAACUCUUUGGUGAAUCUGAAUAACUAUUUCUGAUCGCAUGGUCUAGCACCGGCGACAUCACUUUCAAGUGUCUGCCUUAUCAACCUUCGAUGGUAGUCUAUGCGACUACCAUGGUGAUAACGGGUAACGGAGAAUCAGGGUUCGACUCCGGAGAGGGAGCCUGAGAAACGGCUACCACAUCCAAGGAAGGCAGCAGGCGCGCAAAUUACCCAAUAACGAGACGAUUCUCGUUUGAGAAACGUUAUCGAAAUGAGUACGCUUUACACACGCUAACGAGUAGCAAUUGGAGGGCAAGUCUGGUGCCAGCAGCCGCGGUAAUUCCAGCUCCAAUAGCGUAUAUUAAAGUUGCUGCGGUUAAAACGCUCGUAGUUGAAUUGUGGUCUUAGACAACAGUCCCCCUAUAUAGGUGUGGCACGGUUGCUCGAGAUCUUCAUUCGUGGUUGCUGUUGUUGCUCUUCAUUGAGUGUCAAUGGUGCCUCGAGAUUUUACUUUGAAAAAAUUAGAGUGCUCAAAGCAGGUUGUGAUGCCUGAAUAAUGGUGCAUGGAAUAAUAGAAUACGAUCUCGGUUCUAUUUUGUUGGUUUUCGAACCGGAGAUAAUGAUUGAAAGGAACAGACGGGGGCAUUCGUAUUGCUGCGUUAGAGGUGAAAUUCUUGGAUCGCAGCAAGAUGAACAAUUGCGAAAGCAUUUGCCAAGAAUGUUUUCAUUAAUCAAGAACGAAAGUUAGAGGUUCGAAGGCGAUCAGAUACCGCCCUAGUUCUAACGGUAAACUAUGCCAACCAGCGAUUCGCCGAAGUUCAUUUAAGACUCGGCGAGCAGCUUCCGGGAAACCAAAGUGUUUCGGUUCCGGGGGAAGUAUGGUUGCAAAGCUGAAACUUAAAGGAAUUGACGGAAGGGCACCACCAGGAGUGGAGCCUGCGGCUUAAUUUGACCCAACACGGGAAAACUCACCCGGCCCGGACACUGAAAGGAUUGACAGAUUGACAGCUCUUUCUUGAUUCAGUGGGUAGUGGUGCAUGGCCGUUCUUAGUUGGUGGAGCGAUUUGUCUGGUUAAUUCCGAUAACGAACGAGACUCUACCCUAUUAAAUAGUGACAGUAUUGCAUAUUCUGUGCUGAUCACUUCUUAGAGGGACUGGCAAAUUGAAAGCUGCACGAAAAAGAGCAAUAACAGGUCUGUGAUGCCCUUCGAUGUCCGGGGCUGCACGCGCGCUACAAUGAAAGCGUCAACGUGAGUUACGUCCUUACCUGAAAAGGUUUGGCAAUCGAUUGAAACGUUUUCUUGAAUGGAAUAGGGAAUUGCAAUUGUUUCCCUUGAACGAGGAAUUCCCAGUAAGCGUGAGUCAUUAGCUCGCGUUGAUUACGUCCCUGCCCUUUGUACACACCGCCCGUCGCUAUGCCCUUUGUACACACCGCCCGUCGCUACUACCGAUUGGAUGAUUUAGUGAGGUGUUUUGACUAGCGCCUGUAGUCGGAUGUAUAUUCGGCUUCGCGCCGGGAAAUUUCCCAAACCAAAUCAUCUAGAGGAAGUAAAAGUCGUAACAAGGUUUCCGUAGGUGAACCUGCGGAAG